rnacentral:rRNA from 1 species
GACGAACGCUGGCGGCGUGCCUAAUACAUGCAAGUCGAGCGAACCAAUGGGAGCUUGCUCCCUGAGGUUAGCGGCGGGCGGGUGAGUAACACGUGGGCAACCUGCCUGCAAGACUGGGAUAACUCCGGGAAACCGGGGCUAAUACCGGAUAAUCCUUUCCUUCGCAUGAAGGAAAGCUGAAAGACGGCGCAAGCUGUUACUUGCAGAUGGGCCCGCGGCGCAUUAGCUAGUUGGUGAGGUAACGGCUCACCAAGGCGACGAUGCGUAGCCGACCUGAGAGGGUGAUCGGCCACACUGGGACUGAGACACGGCCCAG